GUAACGGAUGUGGUCAGUCUGAGCAUCUGCUAAGCUGGGCAGAACUGACUCGGUGUGUCUCUGUGGAGUGCCACCUGUGAGCAGCCACUGCUGACACCAAUCCAGUGUGGGUGUCAGGACAUAAGAAGCAGGAAGCUGGUCCCACUUCCUGUCAGAGAAACCGCAGCUUCUACAGUGCUUGUCUCCUGUAGGAGACUGUAGAAGACUGAAUUUGCUAGUACAGGUACAUACAGAGGGGAGGUGAACACCAUGGUGCUUGUCAUCCUUCUGCUAAAAGCAGCUAAUCAAAACUCAGCGUCCCAUUGAUUACUCUAAUCAGGGGGAGGAGAAGUGAUGAAGAAGCCAAGUGGUAACUUUUGUGCCCAGAAUGAAUCAAACAGCAGAAAGUAAAACACAGAACCUGUUUGCAAAUUCAAGUAUUCUUCUUGAAUUGAUCUUUUGACUAGUUUUUGGGGUCAGGCUAGACAUUCUGAGUAAGGAUGGGCUUUCCUACCUCACCUAUGUUUUUUUCAGAUCUUCACCGCCUCUCUCUUUUCUAUAUGCAAUAACCUAUAUGCCUGAAGCCUCAGAAUUUAGCCUGGAUCAUUUAUAUCUGUCUGGUGGACAGACAUUUUUAUGUUACACCUUUCAAAACCACCUGAUUCUGAGAAAAAAAUCCUUUUUAUCUGCACCACAAAGAGUUGUAUUGAUAUUCAGAGUUUCAAAGCAGUUUAACUUGACCUUUACCAGCAUAAAGUUUGGAGAGGACGAGCAAAGCUUUCAUUUAUGAAGAACAGUUGUUCUGUUCAGUGGUGGAAGAAUAGAAGAAAUGGAAGAAGGUAUGGCCAGACAAUGUAUCUUCUAGAAAGCUGUAAUAUUCCCUGCAGGACCCAGAUUUUUAUCCUGUGCCAACAUACUGUGUCUCUAAACACCCAAAUUUGCCAUUCCUGAUAUUAGCAGAGUGACCCCCAACAUAAGGCUUGAAGAAUAUAGCAACGAGAAAGACCCACGGCAUACAGGAAGAUCUUUCAGUGCUCAACAUUAACAAAGUCUGCAUUUGAGAUUAAACAUGUCAGUUAUUUUUUAGGGACUCGGAAUACAAAAUGCCAGUUUAUCAGUGUGAGGGACCUUCUGACAAGCAGCAGAUAAAGCUUUACUGUGAUGCAGAAAAUACAGUAACAGUAAAGGGUUAUUAAGGUUUUUUAUGACAAUCCAUCCUAUAUUUCAUCCCAGAAAAUGCUGGUAGCUCCUUUUCACCAUGUCUUAAGUGUGCCAGCUCUAUUAUACAGAUCCCAAUCUUUAAACCAUGCUUUGGCAAAUGUAUCCUUUGUGGCACUUGUGUGAUCGAUUAUACUUUACUCAGUGCUGUGAUUGUUUACAACACACCACAGUCUUCCACUGCGUGAGGACACAUUUAUUAUAGACAAUGGUGCCAGUGCUGAUCUGUUCUUAUUGGCCAUUUCAAAACAAAAGCCAGACAAAAAGGCAUCUGUUUUCAGUGGCUGGUCAGGUUAGUACUGAAGUCUCUUCUUGGUGCUUUUCACCCUAUGUUGGAAUACAGCUGCCAGUGCUCAGGGGCCCCUUUCACUGAGGGCCAUCUCCCUAGAAGAGCUGCUGUGGACUCAGGUUAAUUCUAGCACUGACCUGCCUUUCACAAGCUUUUCAGGCAAAUCUUCACACUGAGUCAUUAGAGCCCUACAAAUGGUAUACAGUUAAAACAUCCAAGAGUGUCAAAAUGAGUCAUAUUUUUCAAGUGACAGUUGCUAUUUUGAGUGACUGUUUUGCAUUACACUUACCAGGACAUGCAGGAAACCACAGUGUUUAAGCUUUCCUGCUGCUCCUAGUUCCUUACACAUGACCAGCCAAGGCAGUUAUAUCACUGAGCCACACCUUGCUCUUAUCCAGAAAUAUUCCCAGGCAUACAUGUCGCUUUAUCAGAAGGAGGUGACUCUAGACUUCUACAAAAAGUUGUUUCAGGCAAAGAAAGGUGUUGCUUUCAGUGGUGUGCUUUCAGGUGCUUCAGCCUGACUUGAAGACCAUAUACCCUCUGCCUUGAAGAGAGCUGAAAAUGGAACUAAGACCCUACAGGUAUCUGCAACAGUACCAGCAUGCAGAGUGAAGAAGGGCAAAGUUAAAGACAUGGUAGUAGUGACCAUUCCUAUGGAUUACAGACUUGGAAGACAAAAGCUGGGGAACACAAAGAAACGAUUGGACAUGCCCAUGCAGAGAAACAAUCCCUAAAGGAAGUGCCUGACUCUUCAAAGGAAGACCUUUUGUUUCCAUCCAGGAUGAUAAAUGGGUUUUAGCUUUAUUUUCUCAGAGGGAAGCUUAUGUGAUUGUACUGUCUGUCAUCUGUCUACACCGAUAAGUUUUUAACUGCCACAGCCAAUUAUAAUUAUUUCCAAAGAAAAAAAAUACUGCCAGAGGCAGACAUCUCCAUGAUAAUUAUAUUUCUAUGGAUCUCAUGAAAGACAGCAGCAGACUGGGUUGGGGCUAAGGAGGAGGAGGAGGGAGACUACAAAGCACAAGACCACACUGAGUGUGUGCCAUGUUGAGGAAGUCUGUGAGGCCUCAGCUAAUCCUCAGCCCAUCCUGGCUGAAGGCAGGCAGCCAACCAGUCUGCAGCACUGGAGAGUCAGUGGGCACGGGUGUCUCUGCAGACAUCUCACAAAACAUACUGUUCUUGUCCAUGGGUGUGAUUUCCUAGGGGCCAUCACUGGCUGUGGCUGCUGCAGUGCAGAAGUGGAACAGGCACAGCCCUUCUUUCUGCCAGCUGAGAUUCAGGGAUCUUGUGUUGAUGCAGGCAGUGGCACUGUGUUGCCCUGGGCCUGUACUUGCAGGCUGCAGAACCUGGGUGGUGGCUGGGCUGGGCUGGUAGAUGCCCCCAGGCAGGACAGACAGGCAAAGUGCAAGGCACGGUCAGCAUAUGCUCCAUGCUGCGACUAAUUGAACAUAAUGGGUGCACUGCUAACAAAGACUCGUAGUGUGGGGGACAGUGUGUUCUUUGUGCUCAGAGACCUGCCAGCCACUAAUGAAAGCUGCUAAGGCCAGCUUUGUAAAUGCAUUUAGGUGACUGAGCCAGAUAUUUGAGGACAGGUAGAGCCUAAUUCUCUCUGACAUCAAAGGGGACUCUGACUUGCACUGCAUCGGAAGUCAUGUCUUUAAACAGCUUCAAAGCUAUGAACAUUUCUCCCUAAAUAUUUUAGAAAAAAUGACCCUCUCUCGAGUGAAUCUUGCAUGAAAUGAGAGGUUUCUAGAACCCUUGAGAACCAAGCAGCUUAGCUGAACCUUUCCUUGAAAUGUACAUACUGUUUCACCAUUCCAGGAUGUUCUUGGAAGGAGCAAAUUGCCUAAAGUGAAAGCAGAUCACCAUCUUCACUGCCUAGCUACCGUGACAUGUAAUUCCUCUUGGCUUGUCAAUAACCUGAUCCAGUUGUCCAGGCCUUAUGUAAGUGGAGGGCAGCUGCAGGUAACCCCUAGGUUGCUCUGCCCAUCUGUCUCAGCUGCAGUCUGCAGCAGGGGUUCAGUGACCUGGAACACAAAUCUGCGUUCAGAAGCCCUCAGGCAGGAGAGUUUCCCAGGCUGGAGUUUCACACCCCCUUGUUUCACUGUUAACGGAACCUUUCCCAGAGUGCUUUCUGUUGAACAAGAGUGAACAGGAUUUCUUGUCUUCCACAUUCCCCCACUAAUUCAACUAAGGUUAUUAAGUUGCCUGAUAAAUCCCAGCAUCUACAGCAGCAGUUGAAGAAAGGAAAUUGCAAAAAAAUGCAUUCAAAUACGCAAGAGUAGAAAGAGAGUAAGCAAAGAAGGGGAGGGUUGGGAGCAUGAAAGAAGCACUGUUUCCCUAAAAUAGUUUGUUUUGAAAUGGAGGACAAAUGACUGCAUUUUAGCCCUACCAAACAUCUGUGAAAGAUUAACAUUUCUUCACAGCAUUGCUUUAUUUUUGCCUAGGUCUUCAGCAACCAUUAGUCAAAGUUAAUUCAGGCUUUGACCCUUGGGAACUUGUUUAAUGUGCUAGUGCUUAGAAGUCCAUUAAUAUUUAUAAAUGUCACUUGAAUUCCAUUUUUACCUUCUUACCCAUGCAGGAGCACUGUAAAAAGAAAAUAUUGUUGCUUUUCCUUUUUUUCAAAUAUUUUCCUGUGGUUGUGUUUGGUUUUGGUUUGUUUUUAUUUUAUUAGAGCUGUAGUAAAUUCAGGAUUGAGCCUGUUCUAAAAAUGUCAUAUUCUAUACAGCUGUGAUAUACAGUUUUGCUAGCCUGUCUAUGCCCCCAAGAAGGGCCUGAGAGUUAGAUGUUAGGCCUGGAAAAAUGGAGAUGGUGUCUAUUCUCAGCUCUGCCACUGGCUAAUUAUGCAACCUUAGUCAGUUCAUUUAACCUCGGCAUCCUUAGGUUUCCAGAUCAGAAGCGAAAAGGAUAAAAUGCUCCUCUGUGAAUCCUUUUGGUGCCUGAGGGAGAACAAGGUAUUACCCAUCAUGUUGCUGCCUUGUGAGCUCUGGGUGUGCGUGGUUUCUGUGUUUGGGUAGGGUACCUGUGGUGAGUGAGUCCAGGAACACAGAUGAAGGCCUGGCCACUGCAUUUCUUGCCAAGGGAGACAGCUCUCACAGUCAGUUUGACAAAUCACAGCUACUGACACUCUUUGCUUUAGGCACUCAGGCUUUUAUGUCACUCUUCAGCAGCUUCCUGCCAGCCACAGCAGUCACUGCCUCCUGUACAUUUUUAGGCUUUAGGAUGUGACUCGUGCCUGUUACAGCUUGCUGACCCCAGAGAGGGAUCAAUGGCACUCCAAAGAGCUGUAAACCAGUAUAAAAUGGCAGAUCUGUUCCUAGUAGUGGUAAUAAAAUAAAUUGCUUAAUUUAAAGACCAGAAGUGUGCCUUGGAAGUCAUAAAUGAGAGACUCAAGCAGUUUUCAAAAUAUAUCACCUCUUAUUUUUGGAGCACUUGGACUUAAACACAAAUUGGCAUUGGGGAUGUGCUUUUCACAGCUGCUGAGAUGUGUUUCUGUGUGACCUACAGCAUGCACUGCUGGGCAAAACAAGAGCGAUGUUGGAAAGUGGUUAAAAGCAUGCAGCUCUUUUAUUACAGCAGGGGCUGCUCUGUGUUCCUGGUUCAGAAUGUAAAGCAGAGCUGCCCAACCUUUGUUUCAGCGGGCAUCUGAACUGCCUUGUGCUGCACAGUCCUGCUGCCCAAAACCAUCAGCAAGCAGAGUCAUUGCAGACAUUUCUUGGCAGCAGAAGGCAGAGCAUUACAAGACAAAGUAUUUCAGGUGUACACCUAGCUGGAUGGCAUAGCAACCUCCAACACAAUCAGGGAAACUGCAUGCGAAGAGUUAUCUUUGAGGGAUUUGUGAGACCCGGCUCAGUAGUAUGGGAGGCAGCAGCACCUGAAAAAGCAGUGCUCUCCCACGCGAGGCUCCUGGCCCUACGAAAUUUCCCAUGCGCACUGUUUUGCUUCUAGGCCAGCGUGGGUGUGAUAUGUGUUACCUUAGCAACAGGGACAAGUGCGUGCUGCAGCUGUAGCCUUCUCCUCUUUGCAGCCGGAAAGCAUCCCUGGUUUUCUUACAGAAAAUGCUGCACAGCUCCCCGCAGAGGGGACCCCAGUGCCUGUGGCUAUCAGCGUGCUGGCACGCAGGGCACAAACACAGAUAUGAGCUACGGCUGACGCAGACAUGUCUUCCCUGCUACCCUUUGCUCCAGCUCAUCUCUUCUGGCCUCCAGAGAACAUCAUCUGAGUCAGUCUGGCAGGAGCAGGAUCAGCAGCUUUGUGCCAGCCCCCUCCAUCGUUUCUCGAGUCUGAUGGCUCCCACAGCUCAAGGCUUUUUUACUAAACUUGAAUGCUGGAGGAUGUCUGAGUGCUUUAUGAAUAU